rnacentral:rRNA from 1 species
UCAAGUAAUUAAGUGCAUGUGGUGGAUGCCUUGGCAGUCAGAGGCGAUGAAAGACGUGAUAGCCUGCGAAAAGCUCCGGGGAGGCGGCAAAUAUCCUUUGAUCCGGAGAUGUCUGAAUGGGGGAACCCACCUACUUUAAGGUAGGUAUUGCAACAUGAAUACAUAGUGUUGCAAGGCGAACGAGGGGAAGUGAAACAUCUCAGUACCCUUAGGAAAAGAAAUCAAUUGAGAUUCCCUCAGUAGCGGCGAGCGAACGGGGAUCAGCCCAUUAAGUUAUGUGUGUUUUAGUGGAACGCUCUGGGAAGUGCGAACGUAGAGGGUGAUAUUCCCGUACACGAAAGGGCACACAUAAUGAUGACGAGUAGGGCGAGGCACGUGAAACCUUGUCUGAAUAUGGGGGGACCAUCCUCCAAGGCUAAAUACUCCUGACUGACCGAUAGUGAACCAGUACCGUGAGGGAAAGGCGAAAAGAACCCCUGUGAGGGGAGUGAAAUAGAUCCUGAAACCGCAUGCAUACAAGCAGUGGGAGCACCUUCGUGGUGUGACUGCGUACCUUUUGUAUAAUGGGUCAGCGACUUAUAUUCAGUAGCAAGGUUAACCGUAUAGGGGAGCCGUAGAGAAAUCGAGUCUUAAUAGGGCGUUUAGUUGCUGGGUAUAGACCCGAAACCAGGCGAUCUAUCCAUGAGCAGGUUGAAGGUUGGGUAACACUAACUGGAGGACCGAACCCACUGUCGUUGAAAAGCCAGGGGAUGACUUGUGGAUAGGGGUGAAAGGCUAAUCAAGCCUGGUGAUAGCUGGUUCUCCCCGAAAGCUAUUUAGGUAGCGCCUCGGACGAAUACCAUAGGGGGUAGAGCACUGUUUCGGCUAGGGGGUCAUCCCGACUUACCAAACCGAUGCAAACUCCGAAUACCUAUGAGUACUAUCCGGGAGACAGACUGCGGGUGCUAACGUCCGUAGUCAAGAGGAAAACAAUCCAGACCGCCAGCUAAGGCCCCAAAAUCAUAGUUAAGUGGGAAACGAUGUGGGAAGGCAUAGACAGCUAGGAGGUUGGCUUAGAAGCAGCCACCCUUUAAAGAAAGCGUAAUAGCUCACUAGUCGAGUCGGCCUGCGCGGAAGAUGUAACGGGGCUAAAACUAUGUGCCGAAGCUGCGGAUUUGACAUUAGUCAAGUGGUAGGGGAGCGUUCUGUAAGCCGAUGAAGGUGUAUUGAGAAGUAUGCUGGAGGUAUCAGAAGUGCGAAUGCUGACGUGAGUAACGACAAAACGGGUGAAAAACCCGUUCGCCGAAAGACCAAGGGUUCCAGUCCAACGUUAAUCGGGGCUGGGUGAGUCGACCCCUAAGGCGAGGCCGAAAGGCGUAGUCGAUGGGAAAAUGGUUAAUAUUCCAUUACUUCUGUGUAAUGCGAUGAGAGGACGGAGAAGGCUAAAUCAGCCUGGCGUUGGUUGUCCAGGUGAAAGGAUGUAGGCAUGUAUCUUAGGCAAAUCCGGGGUACUCUAUGCUGAGAUCUGAUAGCAAGCUGUACUUGUACAGCGAAGUGGUUGAUGCCAUGCUUCCAGGAAAAGUCUCUAAGCUUCAGUUACACAGGAAUCGUACCCGAAACCGACACAGGUGGUCAGGUCGAGUAGACCAAGGCGCUUGAGAGAACUCUGCUGAAGGAACUAGGCAAAAUGGUACCGUAACUUCGGGAGAAGGUACGCUGUUGUUGGUGAUGGAACUCGCUUCCUGAGCUGACGACAGCCGCAGAAACCAGGCCGCUGCAACUGUUUAUUAAAAACAUAGCACUCUGCAAACACGAAAGUGGACGUAUAGGGUGUGAUGCCUGCCCGGUGCUGGAAGGUUAAUUGAUGGGGUUAGCGUAAGCGAAGCUCUUGAUCGAAGCCCCAGUAAACGGCGGCCGUAACUAUAACGGUCCUAAGGUAGCGAAAUUCCUUGUCGGGUAAGUUCCGACCUGCACGAAUGGCAUAAUGAUGGCGGCGCUGUCUCCAGCAGAGGCUCAGUGAAAUCGAAAUCGCUGUGAAGAUGCAGUGUACCCGCGGCUAGACGGAAAGACCCCGUGAACCUUUACUGCAGCUUGACACUGAACUUUGACCUUACUUGUGUAGGAUAGGUGGGAGGCUUUGAAGCUGGAACGCUAGUUCCAGUGGAGCCGUCCUUGAAAUACCACCCUGGUAAUGUUGAGGUUCUAACUCUGUCCCGUGAUCCGGGACGAGGACCGUGUCUGGUGGGUAGUUUGACUGGGGCGGUCUCCUCCUAAAGAG